UAAAAUUUAAAAUUAAAAUACUAAAAUAGUAAUUAAUUAUUUAUUGAAACUUAAAUAAUUUGGCGGUAUUUUAGUUCAUUUAGAGGAAUCUGUUUAAUAAUUGAUAUUCCACGAAUAAAUUUACUUAAUUUAUAAUUUUGUAUAUCGUUGUUAUAAAAAUAUUUUUUAAUAAAAUUAAUAUUUAAAAAUUAUUAUAUAAAUUUAAAUCAGAUCAAGAUGCAGAUUAUAAUUAAGAAUAUAAUGGAUUACAAUAAAAUUAUUUAAAUGAAUAUUAAUUUGUAAAAAUUAAUUGAAAGUGGAUUUAAAUGUAAUUUUAUUUAAUUUAGUAAAAUGAUUAAAAAUUAAAAUAUGU
rnacentral:rRNA from 1 species